GGAUGUGAAGGCAAUCCAGCUGCAGCAUCUGUCCCCACUUUUUGUCAGGGCAGAUUCUGCUGUUUUGACUGGUUAGGCCGGAUAUCUCCUUCCUCCUUCAAUAGCUCCAUGUGUGUCCCUCCCAAAGCUGCACACUAGGUUGCAGAGGACAACCUGUCCAAUAGGUUUUUUGGUCUGGAAAUUGGUACAGCAGAGAAGGAACUGAGAGUGCAGCAGCCAAGGGAACAUGAGCCAGUUUGUGGCCAGGUGGGCAAGAAAGCCAGUGGAAUCCUGGCCUCUAUCAGACACAGCGUGGCCAG
rnacentral:sRNA from 1 species